CGUUGACUCUCUGACAGUCGCGCUGACUGGAUCUCAAGAACUGUAAGUCAACUCCAUUAAUAGAGGAUGAAGGCGCAUGGCCCCAUGUGGGUCCACUGUCAUCUUCCCGUAGCUGAAUGACACAUCAUCGGCGACAACAGCUUUCUUACCUUCCUUUACCAGCGUGCUAAUAUAAAAAGGAGAAAAAGAUGGUCGAGUGCUUUCCUCCCCUUUUGUUCUCUUCAA